CAAUUGACCCCUUAAGCUGGGUCUGACUUCAAAGUGGGCCCUGCUCUGCACACAACAUCAGGCAGUGGCCUCCAGAGCUGCUUCUAAACCAAAGGGUUCCUUGAUUGAAAUGCUAUGUAAAAGAUUGCCAUUGUUUUGCACUGCAGCCACUCACUGAUGUGGAUCAACUGUGCCAGUCACUCCACCACUGUAAAUACGGAACUGCUUUAUUCAGCUCCCUGAAGCUUAAUCAGCCUGCUUUUAAAACAGCUUGUGAGCCCCUUUGGUCUGAAGCUUCCUCCUACCAGGUUGCUUCAUUUCUCUGCGUCAGAGCACGUGCAUGUGGAAAUGGAGAUCAAAGAGCAUUGUUAAUUGACAGAAGAGGUGUUACAGAGAUUGUCAGUUACCUUUUGCUGCUGAUACCCAUCACCUCUAAUAGAAAUGUAAGAACCCAGAACUGGAAAGGACCAUCUGGAACCAUCUCUUGGGAUUUAAAAAAAAAAAAAAGGCUUUCAUGCCAUACAUCUUCUGUCAAACCUGAGGACACCAAUGGACACAGAACUUACUCUUCUUUAACUGCAGACUUGUAUUCCAUAAAAUAUGAAAAGACAUCUGAAAAAGUCACCAGAUCUAACUGGGUGGAGACCGGAUGUCAGGAGAAAACUAGGCUUUUGCAGAGAUUGAUUUAUGGAGAAGGAACUAAGUAUACAUGAGUAGAACUGCAUUUCAGAGCUGAAGAAGAGUGAAAAUUGUUAGAAGUUAGAUUGAGCCACACAGACUGAAUUUCCUGACUUUUCUUAAAACAAACAACAAAAGAUCCUUUGUACAACAGAAAUAACAAAACAACAAGAAUUAUUGUUGUGCAGAAGGGUGGGAUAGGACUUGAGAAAUAACCCCCGAAAUGAAGUGAAUAUGUUGCCUUAGUUUUCAGUAAAGAUGCAGCAGUUAAGUAUAGAAACAAAGGUUAUAGAGUGAAUGCAAAGGAAAAUUUGGAAAUGGAAUGGACAC
rnacentral:lncRNA from 1 species